rnacentral:misc_RNA from 1 species
GAUGAAGAACGCAGCGAAAUGCGAUAAGUAAUGUGAAUUGCAGAAUUCAGUGAAUCAUCGAAUCUUUGAACGCACAUUGUGCCCGCCAGUAUUCUGGCGAGCAUGCCUGUUCGAGCGUCAUUUCAACCAUCAAGCCCCAGGCUUGUGUUGGAGCCCUGCGGCUGCCGCAGCCUCCCAAAACCAGUGGCGGGCUCGCUAUCACACCGAGUGCAGUAGUUUACUCUUCGCUCAGGGCGUGUGGCGGGUGCUAGCCGUGAAACCCCCAACUUCUCAAGGUUGACCUCGGAUCAGGUAGGAAUACCCGCUGAACUUAAGCAUAUCAAUAAGCGGAGGA